ensembl:snRNA U6 U6 spliceosomal RNA
GUGCUCAAUUUGACAGCACAUAUAGUAAAAUUGGAAUGAUAAAGAGAAGAUUAGCUUGGCCCCUGUGCUAGGA